GCUACAAGCGUGCCGGGAGGCGGGGUAAUGCGGAGGUGUGGGGCGUUGAGCGGAAGUACGGGGAGUAAAGCGGGCGCAGGCGGUUAUGUAAGACAGAUGUGAAAUCCACGGGCUCAACCUGGGAACUGCAUUUGGGACUGGAGGGCUAGAGUACGGUAGAGGGGGGUAGAAUUCCGGGUGGAGCAGUGAAAUGCGUAGAGAUGCGGAGGAACACCGAUGGCGAAGGCAAGCCCCUGGACAGGUACUGACGCUCAUGCACGAAAGCGUGGGGAGCAAACAGGAUUAGAUACCCGGGUAGUC
rnacentral:rRNA from 1 species